CUCGUUGAGUUGUUUCUUGUGAUCUGGUGUGGGGAAACUUCUUCUGAUUUUAUGAAUGUGUAGUUCUUAUGAACCUUAAUAGAGGGAAAAGCUCAUUGAUGAUGAUCUAAAUCAUUAUAACAUAGCUUGAAAACUUUCAUCUUAUCCAUGAAAAAAAGACCCUUCAUAGAUAAUAGUAAGGGUGUCCCACAUUUGUUUGCAUGAACUUUUGAAUAUUCUUCUUUUCACAUGAC
rnacentral:lncRNA from 1 species